GUUAAAAGACGUGUCAAUAUGUCCCUGACCUGCAAACUUUUUCAAACAACGUAAAGCUAAACGCAAUUUUAGAACAAGCUAGAAAAAAAAUUGAUGCAAUUUGACAGUGAUUUUUUUUUUUAAACUUCCCCGAGUUGCAGGCGAUCGAGUGAAACGUCGGUGACAACGUUCAAGGCAUUCAGUAGGAGGGAUUCGACCAGAGCUGGAGAGAAAGGGUCGGCGCUGAGCAUUCGAGCCCUGAAAAUUGGGAGCGACGUUAACCGAGACCCCGUUGUUUAUUGUGAAGUUAAUGUUGGAAUUGAUGGCUGAAAAAGGGAUCGAGAAGUUGGCUAACAAAUUAAAAAGCAGGAUUUGGGAAAGGAACAAUAACACACGGCAAAUCUGCAGCCAUGAUGCGACUGACUAGAAACCAACAGGAGAAUCUCCAACCCACCAGCUUCUUGUGCACAAGGCGUCGCUUUGGUGCGUAAUCCAAGUGAAAUGAACAAAGUCAGGGUUCUUGCUCCAGUUUGCCUUGGCAUGAAGCUGACGGACUAAAUACAACGUGUACCUGGACAUCGGUACUCUGUUGCUGGUCUCAGUAGUAAGUUGAGCCAUCAAGUGGCCAAUCAGAUGUUUGGCUGCAGAGAAACGUUUACCAAGCCAAUGGAACUGGUGACAACUGUGGCAAUCUAUCUCCACCACGUCUAUUAGCCUGAUGGAGGCAAACGUUUUGUUUUGUUAUUUUCCAAACCAAAAUUUGAAGACCAGCAACAUCUAUUUUACAAUUAAAUUAUUUCAUAAUAUUCUCCUACCUUACGCAACAUGCAUUCAGUGCGUGUCCAAAGCUCAUAAAACAUUUUUAUAUUCUGAGAAAUAGUGUACUUGCAUAUCUUAAUAAAUAAUAUCUUAUCAACUUGAACAAACCA